rnacentral:rRNA from 1 species
AGUGAACGCUGGCGGCGUGCCUAAUACAUGCAAGUCGAACGGAGAUUCAGUAGCUUGCUAUUUAAUCUUAGUGGCGCACGGGUGAGUAAUAUAUAGCUAACUUGCCCAUUACUAAGGGACAACAGUUGGAAACGACUGCUAAUACCUUAUACUCCGUAUCUAUAUAAGUAGAUACGGGAAAGUUUUUCGGUAAUGGAUAGGGCUAUAUCGUAUCAGCUAGUUGGUAAGGUAAUGGCUUACCAAGGCUAUGACGCGUAACUGGUCUGAGAGGAUGAUCAGUCACACUGGAACUGAGACACGGGCCAGACUCCUACGGGAGGCAGCAGUAGGGAAUAUUGCUCAAUGGGGGAAACCCCGAAGCAGCAACGCCGCGUGGAGGAGGACACUUUUCGGAGCGUAAACUCCUUUUCUUGGGAAAGAAUUAUGACGGUACCCAAGGAAUAAGCACCGGCUAACUCCGUG